GAUGAACGCUGGCGGCGUGCUUAACACAUGCAAGUCGAACGAACGACUAUUAACAGAACCUUUCGGGGCGAAGAUGAUAGAAGUUAGUGGCGGACGGGUGCGUAACGCGUGGGUAAUCUGCCUUUGUCAAAGGAAUAACUAUUCGAAAGAAUAGCUAAAACCGUAUAACAUAUUAAUAGGGCAUCCUAAUAAUAUCAAAACUGAGGUGGACAAAGAUGAGCCCGCGUCUGAUUAGCUAGUUGGUGAGAUAAAAGCCCACCAAGGCAACGAUCAGUAGCCGACCUGAGAGGGUGAACGGCCACAUUGGAACUGAGACACGGUCCAAACUCCUACGGGAGGCAGCAGUGGGGAAUAUUGCACAAUGGGGGGAACCCUGAUGCAGCAACGCCGCGUGAGUGAAGAAGGCAUUCGUGUCGUAAAACUCUGUAGUAGGGGAAGAAAGAAAUGACAGUACCCUAAAAGAAAGCCCCGGCUAACUACGUGCCAGCAGCCGCGGUAAUACGUAGGGGGCAAGCGUUAUCCGGAAUAACUGGGCGUAAAGGGUGCGCAGGUGGUUUAACAAGUUAGUGGUGAAAGGCAUAGGCUCAACCAAUGUAAGCCAUUAAAACUGUUUAACUUGAGUGCAGGAGAGGAGAGUGGAAUUCCUAGUGUAGCGGUGAAAUGCGUAGAUAUUAGGAGGAAUACCAGUGGCGAAGGCGACUUUCUGGACUGCAACUGACACUGAGGCACGAAAGCGUGGGGAGCAAACAGG
rnacentral:rRNA from 1 species